rnacentral:rRNA from 1 species
CGCUGGCGGCAGGAUUAACCCAUGCAAGUCGAACUAGGUGUUGGGGCUUGCUCUACCACCUAGGGGCUAACGGGUGAGUAAUACUGGGGAAUCUGCCUCUAAGGGGGGGAAACCUUUCCAAAAGGAACGCUAAUCCCGCAUACGUCCUACGGAAAAAAGCAGGGGAUCUUCGGACCUUGCACUAUGAUAUGAGCCCAACCGAGAUUAGCUAGUUGGAAAGGUAAAGGCUUACCAAGGCGACAAUCUCUACCUGGUCUGAAAGGAUGAUCAGCCACCCUGAAACUAAAACCCGGCCCAAACUCCUACGGAAGGCACCAGUGGGGAAUAUUGAACAAUGGGCGAAAGCUUGAUCCACCCGUGCCGCGUGUGUAAAAAAGGCUUUAGGGUUGUAAAGCACUUUAAGCGAGGAGAAAUGGUUGAGGGUUAAUAACCUUCAGCAGUGACUUUACUCGCAAAAUAAGCACCGGCUAAUUCUGUG